rnacentral:rRNA from 1 species
UACGUAGGGUGCGAGCGUUAAUCGGAAUUACUGGGCGUAAAGCGUGCGUAGGCGGUUCGUUAAGUGCGUCGUGAAAGCCCCGGGCUCAACCUGGGAAUGGCGAUGGAAACUGGCGGGCUGGAGUAUGGCAGAGGGGGUGGAAUUCCGCGUGUAGCAGUGAAAUGCGUAGAGAUGCGGAGGAACACCGAUGGCGAAGGCAGCCCCUGGGCCAAUACUGACGCUCAGGCACGAAAGCGUGGGGAGCAAACAGG